AUGAUAAGCUGUUAUCAUUAUGCGGUUUAUAACAUGUAACUUAGUAGCGGUUAAAGUAUUACUUUACGUCUUCUUCUUAUAGAAAUGUGGAUAGAACAAUAUAGGAAUACUAAUUUUAUAUAUAUAUAUAUUAAUAAACAAUUCAUAUCCAGCUAUUUGAUCAAGUGCUUGAUCCUCAGCAGAAUGCCGUGUGGCAGUACGCCUUCGUCCAGUUACAGUAGAUUCCAUUUGUCCCUUUUAUUUCUUUAUUUAAACAGCAGCAAAUUGAUAAACAAUUAAUGCCUUUUCCUUAACACAGAAAAACAAUCCAAUUUAACUUUAAUGUGACAAAUUAACAAUGAGAAUAAUAAUCGAUAAAAGGAAUAUAAUUCAAAUGUAAAAUUGAUUUAUUUAUAUCAAUGAAAGUCAAUGUCAUUUUAUAUGGGAAAAAAAGAUCUGAAUAUAAGAAAUAUCUUUUUUUAAAGUUCAAUCCUUUAUCUAACGUUAAUCUAAUAUAGAUAUAAAAAAAAAAUCAUUUACUCGUUUAGGAAAUAUAUAAGAUUGACAUAAUGUAUCACUGUAUCAAGUAUAUCAUAUAAUGAAAUGCAACCUUGAUGCAAGAUAAUUAAGUUAAUACAAUGUAACGUAUAGUGGCAGAAUAUAAUUGUUAUUA